rnacentral:rRNA from 1 species
CCAGCACCUGCGGUAAUUCCAGCUCUAAUAGCGUAUAUUAAAGUUGUUGCAGUUAAAAAGCUCGUAGUCGGAAGUCGGGCUCGGGCAGGCUGUCGGCCUCGGUUGGGCAGCUUGCUUGGGUCUUCUAGCUCGGGGGCCCGGUGCCAUUUAACCGUGGUGCGCGGGAACACGGGCCGUUUACUUUGAAAAAAUUAGAGUGUUCAAAGCAGGCCUACGCUUGAAUACAUUAGCAUGGAAUAAUGGAAUAGGACUUUGGUGCUAUUUCGUUGGUUUGCGCACCCACGUAAUGAUUAAUAGAGACAGGCGGGGCUAUUCGUAUUGCAUUGUCAGAGGUGAAAUUCUUGGAUUUCUGCAAGACGAACUACUGCGAAAGCAUUUAGCAAGGAUGUUUUCAUUAAUCAAGAACGAAAGU